GAUCCUGGCUCAGGAUGAACGCUAGCUACAGGCUUAACACAUGCAAGUCGAGGGGCAGCAUGGUCUUAGCUUGCUAAGGCCGAUGGCGACCGGCGCACGGGUGAGUAACACGUAUCCAACCUGUCGUCUACUCUUGGCCAGCCUUCUGAAAGGAAGAUUAAUCCAGGAUGGGAUCAUGAGUUCACAUGUCCGCAUGAUUAAAGGUAUUUUCCGGUAGACGAUGGGGAUGCG
rnacentral:rRNA from 1 species